AGAGUUGAUCAUGGCUCAGGAUGAACGCUAGCGGCAGGCCUAAUACAUGCAAGUCGAACGGUAAGCGGCCCUUCGGGGCUGUGAGAGUGGCGGACGGGUGCGUAACGCGUAUGCAACCAACCCCCGACGGGCGGAUAGCCGGUGGAAACGCCGGAUAAGCCGCCAUGCGGCCGACGAGGGGCAUCCCUUGUCGGUCAAAGCGGAGACGCGGUGGGGGACGGGCAUGCGUCCCAUUAGAUAGUUGGCGGGGCGACGGCCCACCAAGUCGACGAUGGGUAGGGGAUCUGAGAGGACGGUCCCCCACACUGGUACUGAGACACGGACCAGACUCCUGCGGGAGGCAGCAGUAAGGGAUAUUGGUCAAUGGUCGGAAGACUGAACCAGCCAAUGCCGCGUGAGGUAGGAAGGCCCUACGGGUCGUAAGCCUCUUUUACCCGGGGACAAGGGCGCCCACGCGAUGGGUGCUUGAGGGUACCGGGGGAAUAAGCGUCGGCUAACUCCGUGCCAGCAGCCGC
rnacentral:rRNA from 1 species